GACGAACCGUGCGAACGUUGUUCGGAUUCAUUGGGCUUAAAGGGCGCGUAGGCGGGCCGGCAAGUCAGGGGUGAAAUCUUUCAGCUCAACUGGAAAAGUGCCUUUGAUACUGCCGGUCUCGAGGGAGGUAGGGGCGUGCGGAACUUCCGGUGGAGCGGUGAAAUGCGUAGAUAUCGGAAGGAACGCCGGUGGCGAAAGCGGCGCGCUGGACCUCUUCUGACGCUGAGGCGCGAAAGCCAGGGGAGCAAACGGG
rnacentral:rRNA from 1 species